GAUAAACGCUGGCGGCGUGCAUGAGACAUGCAAGUCGAACGAAGGAUCGGGCUUGCUCGAUCCUUAGUGGCGGACAGCUGAGUAACGCGUAGGUGACCUACCCCGAAGUGGGGAAUAACUGCCCGAAAGGGCGGCUAAUACCGCAUGUGGUCGCACGUUCAUUCGUGCGAGUAAAGCCGCAAGGCGCUUCGGGAGGGGCCUGCGUCCGAUUAGCUCGUUGGUGGGGUAAUGGCUUACCAAGGCGACGAUCGGUAGGUGGUCUGAGAGGACGAUCACCCAGACUGGGACUGAGACACGGCCCAGACUCCUACGGGAGGCAGCAGUCGGGAAUUUUGCUCAAUGGGGGAAACCCUGAAGCAGCAACGCCGCGUGAGGGAUGAAGGCCUUCGGGUUGUAAACCUCUUUUGUCAGGGACGAUGAUGACGGUACCUGGCGAAUAAGCCACGGCUAACUACGUG
rnacentral:rRNA from 1 species